CUACGGGAGGCUGCAGUGAGGAAUAUUGUACAAUGGAGGAAACUCUGAUGCAGCAACGCCGCGUGGAGGAUGACGCAUUUCGGUGUGUAAACUCCUUUUAUGAGUCAAGAAAAUGACGGUAGCUCAUGAAUAAGCACCGGCUAACUCCGUGCCAGCAGCCGCGGUAAUACGGAGGGUGCAAGCGUUACUCGGAAUCACUGGGCGUAAAGGACGCGUAGGCGGGAUAUCAAGUCAGGUGUGAAAUCCUACAGCUUAACUGUAGAACUGCACUUGAAACUGGUAACCUAGAGUAUGGGAGGGGGAGAUGGAAUUAGUGGUGUAGGGGUAAAAUCCGUAGAUAUCACUAGGAAUACCUAAAGCGAAGGCGAUCUCCUGGAACAUAACUGACGCUAAGGCGUGAAAGCGUGGGGAGCAAACAGGAUUAGAUACCCGCGUAGUC
rnacentral:rRNA from 1 species